ACGCGACGCCACCCGAUUGGGCCUCUCUCCUCCUCCUCCGAUGACGGGCCUGUGAUGUAUAGCGCUCCCGGUGUGUCUACCAGGCUCUGACUGCAGUACAUCCAUGGCCCUGCUGUUUACCUAUCUGUCUCUCCGACGCCUGAUUACUGUCUUCAGUUUCGAGGACACCUCCUUGCUACGUCAGAUCAACUCCUUGCUACGUCACUGCGCUGACCAGGUGGAGAGAGGCAUCAAAAAGAGAGAGAGAGGAAGAAAGAGAGAGAGAGAGAGAGGACAGUCCAGCUGAGCCUAGAGGCUCAAGGCUAGGCUGGACAGAUUUUACACUUAAAUUAGGAGCAGCAAACUAUUUAUUACAGAAGCAAUGAGGUCAAAGCCAGUAUCUAAUUAUCAUUCCGGCAAGAAUCAGAGAGAGGAGAGAAAGAGGGAAGGACAGAGAAAAGAAAAGGAGACUGAAAGGAAGCGAGUGAGAGGAAGAGACAAAUGAUGGAAUGGUGUAUGGGGGGUUCAAUGAAAGGUGUGAAAUAGAAAGAGAUCAAAGAAACCAAAAAGGA
ensembl:lncRNA